AGUCGAGCGAUCUUCUUCGGAGAGAGCGGCGGACGGGUGAGUAACGCGUGGGUAACCUGCCCUGUACACACGGAUAACAUACCGAAAGGUAUGCUAAUACGGGAUAACAUAAGAAAUUCGCAUGUUUUUCUUAUCAAAGCUCCGGCGGUACAGGAUGGACCCGCGUCUGAUUAGCUAGUUGGUGAGGUAACGGCUCACCAAGGCGACGAUCAGUAGCCGACCUGAGAGGGUGAUCGGCCACAUUGGAACUGAGACACGGUCCAAACUCCUACGGGAGGCAGCAGUGGGGAAUAUUGCACAAUGGGCGAAAGCCUGAUGCAGCAACGCCGCGUGAGCGAUGAAGGCCUUCGGGUCGUAAAGCUCUGUCCUCAAGGAAGAUAAUGACGGUACUUGAGGAGGAAGCCCCGGCUAACUACGUGCCAGCAGCCGCGGUAAUACGUAGGGGGCUAGCGUUAUCCGGAUUUACUGGGCGUAAAGGGUGCGUAGGCGGUCUUUUAAGUCAGGAGUGAAAGGCUACGGCUCAACCGUAGUAAGCUCUUGAAACUGGAGGACUUGAGUGCAGGAGAGGAGAGUGGAAUUCCUAGUGUAGCGGUGAAAUGCGUAGAUAUUAGGAGGAACACCAGUAGCGAAGGCGGCUCUCUGGACUGUAACUGACGCUGAGGCACGAAAGCGUGGGGAGCAAACAGGAUUAGAUACCCUGGUAGUCCACGCCGUANACGAUGAGUACUAGCUGNCGGAGGUUACCCCCUUCGGUGGCGCAGCUAACGCAUUAAGUACUCCGCCUGGGGAGUACGCUCGCAAGAGUGAAACUCAAAGGAAUUGACGGG
rnacentral:rRNA from 1 species